CUGGAGAUGGCGACCGGCGCACGGGUGAGUAACACGUAUCCAACCUGCCGAUAACUCGGGGAUAGCCUUUCGAAAGAAAGAUUAAUACCCGAUGGUAUAAUCAGACCGCAUGGUCUUGUUAUUAAAGAAUUUCGGUUAUCGAUGGGGAUGCGUUCCAUUAGGCAGCUGGCGAGGUAACGGCUCACCAAACCUUCGAUGGAUAGGGGUUCUGAGAGGAAGGUCCCCCACAUUGGAACUGAGACACGGUCCAAACUCCUACGGGAGGCAGCAGUGAGGAAUAUUGGUCAAUGGGCGCAGGCCUGAACCAGCCAAGUAGCGUGAAGGAUGACUGCCCUAUGGGUUGUAAACUUCUUUUAUAUGGGAAUAAAGUUUUCCACGUGUGGAAUUUUGUAUGUACCAUAUGAAUAAGGAUCGGCUAACUCCGUGCCAGCAGCCGCGGUAAUACGGAGGAUCCGAGCGUUAUCCGGAUUUAUUGGGUUUAAAGGGAGCGUAGGUGGACAGUUAAGUCAGUUGUGAAAGUUUGCGGCUCAACCGUAAAAUUGCAGUUGAUACUGGCUGUCUUGAGUACAGUAGAGGUGGGCGGAAUUCGUGGUGUAGCGGUGAAAUGCUUAGAUAUCACGAAGAACUCCGAUUGCGA
rnacentral:rRNA from 1 species